rnacentral:ncRNA from 1 species
UACCUGGUUGAUUCUGCCAGUAGUCAUAUGCUUGUCUCAAAGAUUAAGCCAUGCAUGUCUAAGUAUAAGCAACUUGUACUGUGAAACUGCGAAUGGCUCAUUAAAUCAGUUAUCGUUUAUUUGAUAGUACCUUACUACAUGGAUACCUGUGGUAAUUCUAGAGCUAAUACAUGCUAAAAACCCCGACUUCAGGAAGGGGUGUAUUUAUUAGAUAAAAAACCAACGCCCUUCGGGGCUCCUUGGUGAAUCAUAAUAACUUAACGAAUCGCAUGGCCUUGCGCCGGCGAUGGUUCAUUCAAAUUUCUGCCCUAUCAACUUUCGAUGGUAGGAUAGUGGCCUACCAUGGUGGCAACGGGUAACGGGGAAUUAGGGUUCGAUUCCGGAGAGGGAGCCUGAGAAACGGCUACCACAUCCAAGGAAGGCAGCAGGCGCGCAAAUUACCCAAUCCCGAUACGGGGAGGUAGUGACAAUAAAUACUGAUACGGGGCUCUUUUGGGUCUCGUAAUUGGAAUGAGAACAAUUUAAAUCCCUUAACGAGGAACAAUUGGAGGGCAAGUCUGGUGCCAGCAGCCGCGGUAAUUCCAGCUCCAAUAGCGUAUAUUAAAGUUGUUGCAGUUAAAAAGCUCGUAGUUGAACCUUGGGUCUGGCUGGCCGGUCCGCCUCACCGCGAGUACUGGUCCGGCUGGACCUUUCCUUCUGGGGAACCUCAUGGCCUUCACUGGCUGUGGGGGGAACCAGGACUUUUACUGUGAAAAAAUUAGAGUGUUCAAAGCAGGCCUUUGCUCGAAUACAUUAGCAUGGAAUAAUAGAAUAGGACGUGUG